rnacentral:rRNA from 1 species
UACAGAGGUCUCAAGCGUUGUUCGGAUUCAUUGGGCGUAAAGGGUGCGUAGGCGGCGCGGUAAGUCGGGUGUGAAAUCUCGGAGCUUAACUCCGAAACUGCAUUCGAUACUGCGGUGCUUGAGGACUGGAGAGGAGACUGGAAUUUACGGUGUAGCAGUGAAAUGCGUAGAGAUCGUAAGGAAGACCAGUGGCGAAGGCGGGUCUCUGGACAGUUCCUGACGCUGAGGCACGAAGGUCAGGGGAGCAAACGGG